rnacentral:rRNA from 1 species
GUGUCAGCCGCCGCGGUAAGACGAAGGUGGCAAGCGUUGCUCGGAAUCACUGGGCUUAAAGAGGACGUAGGCGGCUCGGCAAGUCAGGUGUGAAAACCCUUGGCUCAACCAAGGAACUGCACCCGAUACUACCGGGCUUGAGGCGCUGAAGGGCGACUGGAACUCUCGGUGGAGCGGUGAAAUGCGUAGAUAUCGAGAGGAACGCCAAUGGUGAAGACAGGUCGCUGGUGGCGUCCUGACGCUGAGGUCCGAAAGCUAGGGGAGCAAACGGGAUUAGAAACCCCCGUAGUCC